AGGUUGGUUAUUUAGUUUUCUUCGAAUCUCAAAACGUACAACAUGAAGACAACAAUCUUAUUAGCCAUUGUAGUGGCAGUUUUGGUGAGAGUUAAGAAAGUUCAAUCAAGGGACUAUACAGAGUACUACUGUAGUAAGUUGUGUGCUGGAUGCAGAGGUUAUACAUACCAACCAUUAAGUCCCGGAAGAAUUUGCGUAUGCCUUAAUUGUAGCAGCGUUAAGUCUCAACCUUCACUUUAUGGAGAUGCUAGAAAUAUAAACGAAAAAGAUACAAUCUAAUAAUGAAUGCACUGGAAAAGUUUGACCAAGGAAUGGACGUUUUCUAAACAAACUUUUGACAUGCAGAUUAAAAGCACGUACCAUAGCUAAUCACUUAGUCGCUUUUACCCGUAGUUGCUAACAUUUGACAUUAAAGACUU